GACGAACGCUGGCGGCGUGCUUAACACAUGCAAGUCGAACGAUGAAGCUCUUCGGAGUGGAUUAGUGGCGAACGGGUGAGUAACACGUGGGAAAUCUGCCCUGCACUCUGGGACAAGCCUUGGAAACGAGGUCUAAUACCGGAUAUGACCUUCCUCUGCAUGGGGGUUGGUGGAAAGCUCCGGCGGUGCAGGAUGAUCCCGCGGCCUAUCAGCUUGUUGGUGGGGUAAUGGCCUACCAAGGCGACGACGGGUAGCCGGCCUGAGAGGGCGACCGGCCACACUGGGACUGAGACACGGCCCAGACUCCUACGGGAGGCAGCAGUGGGGAAUAUUGCACAAUGGGCGAAAGCCUGAUGCAGCGACGCCGCGUGAGGGAUGACGGCCUUCGGGUUGUAAACCUCUUUCAGCAGGGAAGAAGCGCAAGUGACGGUACCUGCAGAAGAAGCACCGGCUAACUACGUGCCAGCAGCCGCGGUAAUACGUAGGGUGCGAGCGUUGUCCGGAAUUAUUGGGCGUAAAGAGCUCGUAGGCGGCUUGUCGCGUCGAGUGUGAAAGCCCGGGGCUUAACCCCGGGUCUGCAUUCGAUACGGGCAGGCUUGAGUGUGGUAGGGGAGAUCGGAAUUCCUGGUGUAGCGGUGAAAUGCGCAGAUAUCAGGAGGAACACCGGUGGCGAAGGCGGAUCUCUGGGCCAUUACUGACGCUGAGGAGCGAAAGCGUGGGG
rnacentral:rRNA from 1 species